rnacentral:lncRNA from 1 species
GAUUGUGUCUCACUUAUGGUAGUUACUGUAUGAUAUUAUUGCAUGAUAUUUAUUUAUGAUUCUUAUGUUUAGAUAAUUAUUUACGUUAUAUCUGCUGUAGUUACUAAUGCUCUUUUAUUUGUUUUUGUUUUUACUUUCCUUCACUGAGGGUCGAUUGGAAACAGCCUCUCUGCCCUUUCGGGUAGGGGUAAGGCUACUCUACAUAUUACCCUCCCCAGACCCCACUUUGUGGGACUAUAUUGCUGGAGUUACUACUGCUCUUUUGUUUUUGUUUUUGUUUUUGUUUUUGUUUUUACUUUCUUUCACUGAGC